rnacentral:rRNA from 1 species
AGGCCAGUAUACACUAUUAAUCCCAUCGACUCCUUGAAUAUUAAGCUGAAGAGGUUCAAAAAAUUCUUUAAAGGAUGGGGAUCUAAUCUGUUUGGACAUAAAAAAUUUAGAAAGAGGAUUAUUAAGCUUGAGCUCCAAGAAUUGGAAAAACUAGAAGAGGAGGAUGGUCUAUGUGGGGAAGCCUACACUAGGAAACUUAACAUCCUGGUAGAACUUAAUGAGAUAUAUGUUGAAGAGGAGCUUCAUUGGCAUCAAUUCUCUAAUGAGAGGUGGCUUUUGAAACAGGACAAUAACACUGAUUUCUUCCAUAAGGUAGCUAAUGGGCGUCGUAGGAAAAAUUCCAUGAUAUCCCUUGAGUGCGGAUCAGUGACCAUAGAAGGAACCAAAAACUUAUUGGCUCAUGCUACUGAAUAUUAUAAAAACCUCUUUGGACCGGCUCCUGGCAAUCUCUGUCAGAUAGAUGCAGCGUUAUGGUCUCGGGAGGAAAAUAUCACUCCUGAUGACAAUGAUGACUUGACCCGUCCUUUCUCUCUUGAGGAGAUCAAAAAGGCUUUGUUUGACAUGAAAUCUAACCGUGCCCCUGGACCGGAUGACAUCCCUGUGGAAUUUUAUCAACAUUGCUGG